CUCUUUGGUGAGUCCUUUGUUAAGGACCUGGGCUCCUUUGUGCGCACCUUCACCGCCCUGGACAAAGCCCAGUCUAACUUAAAACGGGUUUUUAGCCCAAGGGUUUUCCAUGGGGCCGGGAGGUACAGGAGCCGCCCGCCCGCCCGGCUGUGGAGCUCGAGGUCCCUCACGGACUCACAGAGGUUCCUUUACUGCCCCUCGGGCCUACCAAGAUUACAAACCGGCUCCUUUCUUUCCCUCACGCGGGAGACCAUGGCAGAAUCGAGGAGGACGUGGUCAACCCUCAUACAGACGCCCUUACGGUAAGUACCCCCAUAUGUGCGUUUUCACAUUCAAACGUGGGUGGCAGACUGGCACUGUAUUUCGAUAUGUGGGGAAUGAUCACCACAGAUAUGUGGGUUCUGAAUACGGUCAGGGGUUUCCGCCUAGAUCUGUUGUCUCCCCCUGUCCAGGUUUUGACACCACAGGAACUGAGAUUGCCGGCAGAGCAGUCCAAACUCAUUACCAAGGAGAUUUCGGAACUUCGAGCCAAACGGGCAAUACAGGAAGUCCCGUACGACCACCCGGUGUUCCUAAGCAACCUGUUCCUUGUUGCCAAGAAGGGCAGAGGUGUUCGACUGGUUAUAAAUCUCAAACACCUCAACGAAUUCCUCCGCUACCAACACUUCAAGAUGGAAGGCAUUCAUUGUCUCAGAGACUUGCUUCGGCAAGGAGACUGGAUGGUCAAACUGGACCUCAAAGAUGCCUAUUUGACUAUUCCAAUGGCAGAAGAACACUGGGACUUAUUGCACUUUACGUGGCAAGGACGUCGAUGGAGGUUUACCUGUCUGCCCUUCGGUCUCUCUUCAGCACUUUGGUGCUUCACAAAGGUGAUAAAACCGGUAGUGGUGUUCCUCAGGUUCUGGGGAGUACGCAUGAUUAUUUACCUGGACGACAUCCUGAUUAUGUCUGCGUUCCCUGAACAACUUCUACAGCAUCUGGGCUGGACGGUGGAUCUUCUGGAAAACUUAGGUUUUCUUAUAAAUUGGGAAAAAUCCAUGGUGAGCCCGGUGCAGAAAAUAGAAUUUCUGGGUUUCGAAGUCGAUUCGGUCGCCCAGUUCAUGUUCCUUCCAGAGCACAAACUAAAGGCUAUGAAGAAGGAAAUAAGACGUACGCUACAGACCACCUCUCUCCAUACGACAAUUGGCGAGGGUGAUUGGCCUUUUGGCCUCCUCCAUUCAGGCAAUUUUCCCGGGACCCCUACAUUAUCGGGCCCUGCAACAUCUGAAGGGAUCCCACCUUGCUCGGGCCGUUCGUACGAAAGCAAACUACGCCUGGACAGAGACUCCAAGGAGGAACUACGGUGGUGGUUGGACCAUAUGGAGGCAUGGAAUGGUCGAGCAAUCUUCGGUACCGCUCCGGAUAUGGUGAUAGAAUCGGAUGCCAGCCUGCAUGGUUGGGGCACUCGCUGUGGAAAUGUCUCCGCAGGUGGCAGAUGGUCCGAAAUCGAAUCGAAACUACACAUAAACUGUCUGGAAUUGCCGGCGGGAUCAUUCGCCAUUCGCAGCCUGUGAAACUGCUGCGUCCUUCUGCGCAUGGACAAUGUGUCCGCGGUCAGAUAUAUAAAUCACCUAGGUGGCACGAAAUCAAAACAACUGGCAAACCUGGCAAAGGACUUCUGGCAGUUUUGCCUCCACAGCGCGGUGUCGGUUACGGCCGAACAUAUCCCGGGCUUGGACAACGAAUGGGCGGAUUGGAAUUCACGCUACUUGAAAGACUCAGGAGAUUGGCACCUGCUGCCUUCGAUCUUUCGACAGAUAGAUCAACUAUGGGGCCCGUUACAACUGGACUUGUUAGCAUCCAGACUGAACUCUCAACUACCCCAAUACUUCAGUUGGAGGCCGGAUCCAUCAGCCACGGCGGUGGAUGCGUUCCUGCAGACAUGGCCUCGGGGUCGUCACUUUGCGUUUCCCCCUUUCAACCUGAUCUCUCGCACGCUGGCAUACUUGUCCAGACAAGAGUGCACAUUGGUAGUGAUAGUUCCCCUAUGGCAGACUCAGCCUUGGUUCCCGCGUCUCUUGGAGAUGGCGAUGGAUUGCCCACGGAUGAUCAAGUUGCGACCAGAUGUGCUUCUGGAUCCGGAUGGAGACUCACACGAAUUGGUGGACCAGGACCUGCUCCAGCUCACGGCGUGGUUGAUUUUGGGGGACCCUGGUGUGUCACAGACGAUCCGCAGGCUACUACAAGACUCCUGGAGAAUGCCUGGGCACCGGGUACCAGAACAGCUUACAAAUCUGCACGGCGUGUGUGGUCUGGCUGGUGCGUGGGAAGACUGCUGGAUCCCCUUUCUGCCCCUCUGAAGGAGGUGCUCAGUUUUCGGACUACACUUUUUGAAUUUGGUUUGGC